CAGCAGCCACGGGAAUACAGAGGGUGCGAGCGUUAAUCGGAAUUACUGGGCGUAAAGCGUGCGCAGGCGGUUCGGAAAGAAAGAUGUGAAAUCCCAGAGCUUAACUUUGGAACUGCAUUUUUAACUACCGGGCUAGAGUGUGUCAGAGGGGGGUGGAAUUCCACGUGUAGCAGUGAAAUGCGUAGAUAUGUGGAGGAACACCGAUGGCGAAGGCAGCCCCCUGGGAUAACACUGACGCUCAUGCACGAAAGCGUGGGGAGCAAACAGGAUUAGAUACCCCAGUAGUCCCUGUCUCUUAUAC
rnacentral:rRNA from 1 species